GCGGGAGUGCCGGAGUGGUCAAACGGGCAUGGCUAAGGACCAUGUGGCUUAGUGCCUGCACAGGUUCGAUCCCUGUCUCCCGCA
rnacentral:tRNA from 1 species